GGCUAGCGUUGCUCGGAAUCACUGGGCGUAAAGCGCACGUAGGCGGAUCUUUAAGUCAGGGGUGAAAUCCCGGAGCUCAACUCCGGAACUGCCUUUGAUACUGAGGGUCUUGAGUCCGGGAGAGGUGAGUGGAACUGCGAGUGUAGAGGUGAAAUUCGUAGAUAUUCGCAAGAACACCAGUGGCGAAGGCGGCUCACUGGCCCGGUACUGACGCUGAGGCACGAAAGCGUGGGGAGCAAACAGG
rnacentral:rRNA from 1 species